rnacentral:rRNA from 1 species
GACGAACGCUGGCGGCGUGCUUAACACAUGCAAGUCGAACGGAAAGGCCCUGCUUUCGUGGGGUGCUCGAGUGGCGAACGGGUGAGUAACACGUGAGUAACCUGCCCUUGACUUUGGGAUAACUUCAGGAAACUGGGGCUAAUACCGGAUAGGAGCUCCUGCUGCAUGGUGGGGGUUGGAAAGUUUCGGCGGUUGGGGAUGGACUCGCGGCUUAUCAGCUUGUUGGUGGGGUAGUGGCUUACCAAGGCUUUGACGGGUAGCCGGCCUGAGAGGGUGACCGGCCACAUUGGGACUGAGAGACGGACCAGACUCCUACGGGAGGCAGCAGUGGGGAAUAUUGCACAAUGGGCGGAAGCCUGAUGCAGCAACGCCGCGUGCGGGAUGACGGCCUUCGGGUUGUAAACCGCUUUCGCCUGUGACGAAGCGUGAGUGACGGUAAUGGGUAAAGAAGCACCGGCUAACUACGUG